rnacentral:rRNA from 1 species
UACGUAGGGGGCAAGCGUUGUCCGGAAUCAUUGGGCGUAAAGCGCGUGUAGGCGGCUCGGUAAGUCCGCUCUGAAAGUCCAGGGCUCAACCCUGGGAUGCGGGUGGAUACUGCCGGGCUCGAGUCCGGAAGAGGCGAGUGGAAUUCCCGGUGUAGCGGUGAAAUGCACAGAGAUCGGGAAGAACACCAGUGGCGAAGGCGCUCUACUAGGCCGUGACUGACACUGAGAGACGAUAGCUAGGGGAGCGAAUAGG